GCCCAUUUGAGGGGAGAAUCUGUCUGGUUUUUCAACUCCCCAGGUUUUUCCUGGCCACCCACUGGCCUUCUCUCCUGGGUCCGGGGGCAACGUGCCCUUUUUCUGGCUGAGUGUGGUCCUCACCCCCCUGUAUGCUCUCUGGCCGCCCUGGCGACAGGUGAGCUCCUGCUUGGCACUGGACAGGGGUUGGGGCGCUCUCCUCUGCUCUCCUGCCCUGGUGUGAGCAGCCACUGGCCCGGCCCACUGAGCUUGCUGCGGGCCCAUGUGAGGAGGUGCAGAGAGAACGCGGCAAGAGGGAGGCUGCACACAUCAGCAGGCCGCGGAGCCCGGAGCCCAGGGCAGGGGAAAUGCGACUGAAAAAGAUAAAAAAUCACAGGUGUAGG
rnacentral:lncRNA from 1 species